rnacentral:rRNA from 1 species
GACGAACGCUGGCGGCGUGCCUAAUACAUGCAAGUUGAGCGCUGAAGGUUGGUACUUGUACCAACUGGAUGAGCAGCGAACGGGUGAGUAACGCGUGGGGAAUCUGCCUUUGAGCGGGGGACAACAUUUGGAAACGAAUGCUAAUACCGCAUAAAAACUUUAAACACAAGUUUUAAGUUUGAAAGAUGCAAUUGCAUCACUCAAAGAUGAUCCCGCGUUGUAUUAGCUAGUUGGUGAGGUAAAGGCUCACCAAGGCGAUGAUACAUAGCCGACCUGAGAGGGUGCUCGGCCACAUUGGGACUGAGACACGGCCCAAACUCCUACGGGAGGCAGCAGUCGGGAAUCUUCGGCAAUGGACGAAAGUCUGACCGAGCAACGCCGCGUGAGUGAAGAAGGUUUUCGGAUCGUAAAACUCUGUUGGUAGAGAAGAACGUUGGUGAGAGUGGAAAGCUCAUCAAGUGACGGUAACUACCCAGAAAGGGACGGCUAACUACGUG